rnacentral:rRNA from 1 species
CCAAUAGCGUAUAUUAAAGUUGUUGCAGUUAAAAAGCUCGUAGUUGAAUUUCGGGGUGAGUAGGUUGGUCAUGCCUCUGGUAUGUACUGGUCUCAUUGAUUCCUCCUUCCUGAUGAGCCGUAAUGCCAUUAAGUUGGUGUUGCGGGGAAUUUGGACUGUGAAUUUGAAAAAAUUAGAGGGUUUAAAGCAAGCUAACGCUUGAAUACAUUAGCAUGGACUAAUGAAAUAGGACGGUCGAUCCUAUUUUGUUGGUUUCUAGGAUUGACGUAAUGAUUAAUAGGGAUAGUUGGGGGCAUUAGUAUUCAAUUGUCAGAGGUGAAAUUCUUGGAUUUAUUGAAGCCUAACUACUGCGAAAGCAUUUGCCAAGGAUGUUUUCAUUAAUCAAGAACGAAAGUUAGGGGAUCGAAGACGAUCAGAUACCGUCGUAGUCUUAACCAUAAACUAUGCCGACUAGGGAUCGGAUGAUGUUAAUUUUUUAAUGACUCAUUCGGCGCCUUACG